rnacentral:tRNA from 1 species
UGGCUCAGUUGGUAGAGCAUGGUGUUUGCAACGCCAGGGUUGUGGGUAUGAUUCCCAC